AUACGUAGGGUGCGAGCGUUGUCCGGAAUUACUGGGCGUAAAGAGCUCGUAGGUGGUUUGUCGCGUCGUCUGUGAAAUUCCGGGGCUUAACUCCGGGCGUGCAGGCGAUACGGGCAUAACUUGAGUACUGUAGGGGAGACUGGAAUUCCUGGUGUAGCGGUGAAAUGCGCAGACAUCAGGAGGAACACCGGUGGCGAAGGCGGGUCUCUGGGCAGUAACUGACGCUGAGGAGCGAAAGCAUGGGUAGCGAACAGGAUUAGAUACCCUGGUAGUCCAUGCCGUAAACGGUGGGCGCUAGGUGUAGGGGUCUUCCACGACUUCUGUGCCGUAGCUAACGCAUUAAGCGCCCCGCCUGGGGAGUACGGCCGCAAGGCUAAAACUCAAAGGAAUUGACGGGG
rnacentral:rRNA from 1 species